CUCGGCUCUUUGAGUGCUUGAUGUGAUCAAUCCGCACAUUGAUCCUCUUGGCCAGAAUCUUGCCCUUAACUUGCUUGUUUACAAUGAUGCCCACGGCAUGCUGGGUGAAGGAGAAUGAUCAGAAGAAAAAGGAAGCCAAAGAGAAGGGCACCUGGGUUCAGCUGAAGCGCCAGCCUGCACCACCCAGAGAAGCACACUUUGUGAGGACCAACAGAAAAGAGCCUGAGCUGUUGGAGCCCAUUCCAUAUGAAUUUAUGGCCUAAUAUACAAAAAAGAAAUAAAGGACCCAGACUGCUAAAAAAAAAAAAAAAAAGAAAAA